GGCGUUUCGAGGCCUGCGUCAGAGUCUGGUGCUGGUGACUGUGUCCCGGCCCUGUGGGCCUGGCGCGGCAGAGGGCUGCGGCCGCCUCUCCGAGGAUUUCAGUUCACGGCCCGCCAGGAUGACCCGGCUGUGGGCGCUCGGCCAGGCUGGGGUCCUCCCUGUCCCGACUGUCGGCCCCGCGACGUACUUGCCUCCAGAACGGCACCCCGUGGCACCGAGAGGGGCGCGUCCCUGCCACGUCCCCCCUCGAGUGGGGACGUGGGCUGGGAGGCCCAGCCCUGCCUGGCAUAGAGGCCCAGGCCGGGCAGCAGGGCGUGGCGGCACCCGCCUGUCUUGCCGGAGACACAGGAGGCUGAUGCAGGAGGAUCGCGUAGUCGAGGCCAGCCUGCGCAACUCAGUGAGACCCUGUCUCAAAAUACAAAAUAAAAGGGGCCCGGGCUGUAGUGUGGAGGCCUCCUGGGUGUUAUGGGGAGCCGCGUCAAGAAACGCUCAAAGUCCGAAUUCAAAUCAAAGAGAGCUUUAUUCACCUGGUGGGGGACUGCCACCCACUCUAGAGACUGAAGCUGUGUGGGAGAACAGCCUUUUCCUGGCCUGUGUCUUGGGAAUUUAAGGACGAAAAACCACAGCUUGGGGACUUUGCUUAGCGUCAUGCAAGCAAGCCAGUCAUAGACGCUAAGACAGCAAUUAGCGCAAGGCAGUGGCAUCUUGGGUCCGAGCAGGUGUUAGACACCAUAUGCUGAGCUCCAGCAGGUGGUUAGUGGGGGCGAGACUCUGGUUCAAAGUUGGUCACCAAGACCACCAUAUCCUGAAUUGAGUACAUUUUGUGGGUUACAAAGUUCAGAGAACAAUAUUAUAAGAAAUCUGCUUUCGUUUUAGUUUCUCAGAAACAGCUCUUGUAACAGUUUUUGUUUUUCUUAACAGAAGGCAGCAAAAUGGAGUCUUAGGCCAGUCUGUGACAGUUCUUGCUUUAUCAUUGUCUUAUCUCACUUAUCAAAAUCUUACAUAUCAAUAAUCUAUUUUUUUACUACUCUAUAACCUAUAACUUACACUCUUACUGAUUGUAUUUAUAGGUUCACACAACAACACUGGGUUCUGCCCUGCACUGCAGAGAGAAAGAGCUCAGGCCCUCAGAGGACUGGCUGUGCCCUAGGCUGGUCACUGGGUGGCCGAUGGAGACUUAAACUCUACCAAGGGGAACACGGAGGAAGUCUGUGUUCACCAACAAAAUAUAUGGGCAACUCUGGCCCGUACUUUGCUUUGAGAAUCAAAGAAUGAAGGUGUGUGUGUGUGUGAAUUAAGUAAACUAAACCCCAAGGUGUGUGUGGGGGGGCGGUAUCAGAAUCUGGCUCUGGACCUUAAGGAGUCUCACUUCAAAAGAGAAAACAAGGAAAACCACCUGAAAUCCCAGGUAUUUGUGAGGCAGAGGCAGAAGAAUCAUAAGUUCAAGGCCCACCUGGGCAACUUAGCAAGAUCUUGUCUCAAAAAGCUGGGGGUGGGGGCUGGGACUCAGUGGCAAAGUGCUUGCCUGCAUGUGUGAGGCCCUGGGUUCGAUCCUCAGCACCACAUAAAAAUAAAUAAAAUAAAGGUACAUCUAAAAUAAUAAUAAUAAUAAUAAUAAAAGAGCUGGGAUGUGGUUUAGUGGUAAAGGGCCCCUGUGUUCAUUUGCCAGCACCAAAUAAAGGA
rnacentral:lncRNA from 1 species